AUGAAAGUUUAAAAGCAUAAAAUUGGUUUUCUGAACUGAUUGUAUGUGUUUUCUUUUGGUGAUUACUGAUUUUUAAACCAUUUACUGAGUGUUUGUUGGUGUUCUUGUGCUUAUUUUAGUACUAAUAAACAAUUUUAAGUAUCUCUGCUUCGAGUGUAGCUUAUAAUUAUGUUGUUAUAUCCAAAAAAGGGUUGGACGUGACAUUUCAUAGGUUUCCGAGAAAUUGAAUUAAAUGGGUAAUGGAAAUAUGGAGUAAAGACAAAAAACCUUCUGCCACAACCGUAAUAUGUAGUAAUCACUUCAAAACAGAGGACUAUUAUGUCAAUCCCCAUAUGGAACCAAAGUUUUGAAGGAAGGAGCCAUACAAUUAUGAUAUUGAGAACAUGUGUUACUAAAAUAAUAAUGAAUACUAUACAGCAAAUUCCUGCCAUUCAUAAAUACGGAGUUAUGAAUUUUUGACCAUGUUAUUCCAGUUUUGAAGCCCUGAUUCGAAUCUCUUCGUCGGAUGUUAAUCAUAAUUUUUUUUAUAUUGAUAUUUAUUAUAUGUUUUUUUUUCCAAAAUUUGCAGUACUUUUUUAAACCGUUAGAGUAGAGGAAGAUGUAUACUUAUGGAACGUAAGGCUGAAUUUGUCCUUUAAUAGGAAAAAUAUGGCACUUUCAUUCCCAAUAACACUCACUAUUUUAUUUCCUCAGUCUAUUUCUAAAAAUAUUUGGACUAUUUUUUCAGAAGAUAAAAUAUAUAAAAUUUCAUAAAUUUUCUGUUGUGUUUUUACUUAU